CCCAGACUUGGGUCUGCAGCUGUUUUUGGACUACAGUUCUCAUCAUCCCUGAUGCUAGUUAGGGAUGUUGGGAGUUGUAGUCCAAAAACAGCCGCAGACCCAAGUUUGGG